rnacentral:tRNA from 1 species
GGGCAUGUUAGCUCAAUUGCUAGCAUGCUCGACUCCUGAUCCGAGGUGUUCGGGUUCGAGUCCGGGCGUGUUCA